AAUUAAAAAGGUACGCGAGCUGGGUUCAGACCGUCGUGAGACAGGUUGGUCCUAAUCUGCUGCAGGCGUUGAUUCUUGAGAAGAUUUGUGCGUAGUACGAGAGGACCCGCAUGAACUGACCUCUGGUCUGUCGGCUGUCACGCCAGUGGCACUGCCGAGUAGCUAUGUCGGGAAUGGAUAACCGCUGAAAGCAUCUAAGCGGGAAGCCAACUUCAAGAUAAGGAAUCAUUAUCAGACCCCUAGGAGAUGACUAGGUUGAUAGGCACCAGGUGGAAGUACAGUGAUGUAUUU
rnacentral:rRNA from 1 species